rnacentral:rRNA from 1 species
AUGCGGACAAGCGCGGCCACGUCGUCGCCACGGGAUGGCGGCUCCGGGGCUCUGACCCCCGCCCAGGCCGGCAUGGGGAGCGGCGGCGCCAGGCGGCAUUUCUUCCCGCUCACCAGCUUGCAAAUCGGGGAUUUACAGUCAUAUCUUGCAGAGCUCACUAUAUUUUUGUGCCCCGAUACCAAGAAGUUCCUUAUAUUCCUUGACAACCGUCCAUGGUUGCUAGAUCAGAAUACAAAACCUGCUCACCUGUGGCAAUUGAUGGUUACCAAGUCAAGAUUUUCUCCUUUCGCGAACACUAGAACUAGGAGAAAGAGAGAUGAAGGUGGAAAUAAGCUUGUAUUUUCAGAAUUCCCAACAUCUGCUCCACGUAUGUGGAAUCAAUCAUCCAAAUGGUAUACUCUGAUUGAUGAUACCAUGCGGAAAAAGAAGCUUCAAGUAAAUAAAUUGAAGGAUUCUCGCCUGCUGAAUAGGGAGCUGCAUCGGACAUUGUAUGGUUUUAUUAUUUUUGAGGUAGACUGGGCUGAUGUGCGUGGCAUUAAUUAUUUGAAUGAGCUUCAGACUGAUACAUCGAUGGUGAUCGAAGCUAAAACAAUGAAGAGAUGGGAAUUCGAUAGUGUCAAUCAAGCUUCAUCUUUAAUCACUUCUUGGUUCUCAGGGAAUUACUCAGAGUGUCAGCUCUUACAAGAUUAUUUAAAUAGCAUCUCUCCUAAAGGUGAUGUUUUUUAUGAUGCCCUAGAUGACUUAACACCUGAAUUAUGGGACACUGAGAGUGUAAAGAGCGAUGGUGAUGAUUCUGGAGAUUGUGUUAGGGUGCCGUCAAGUUCCACAAGCUCAUCAUACACCCCUCCACCUUGCUCUGGACCUUACAAGAGAAGAAGGAUAACAAGAUCUGAUGCUGGAAGUGAUAUGUCUGAGGAACCAUACUCAGAAUUUGUGACCUCACCAAGAUAUUCAUCAUAUUCAUCUUCAUCAUGUUGCAGUCAUAAUGACAGUGGCACGCCACUGGUGGAGCCUAGCACAUAUAAGGAUGUGCUGAUCUUGUUCCGAUUCAAUGAUCAUGAUCUGCCGUUCAGACUAAAGGAAGUUAUACUGUCUGAUGUGAGGCUCUUAACAUUACUUGAGUAUGGUCUUCCUUCAUGGGUCAUUUUUCUUCAGUCAUAUCCAGUGUUCUGCAAGAUAUAUCGCCCAUGGAUGUGUCCUCUAGCCAGAGCACUAUACGUCUUGAUGUCAUUAAUUACUGUUCUUAUAGGAUUUUAUGACCUCUACAAGAAUGUACCAAUGUUGAAGGCAACUGCCUCUAGAUUAUUUGGCCCUUUGUUUGAUUGGAUAGAGACAUGGGAAAUGAUCUCAAGGCUUAAGUAUCUUGGAACCAUGCUUUUUCUGAACAAUUUCCAGCAGGCUUUUACAUGGUCUCUUAAGAUUGUACGUGCUACUAAGUCUGUUCUUAGUGUAUUGACAAAGCCAAUUAUGGGGCCACUGUUGGAGGUUCUUGAAUUUACCCUGCCACUAUGGAACAUUUGUGCUGAAACGGUUGAAUAUCUCAGUUCAGCUGCAAUGGUAGCGAUGGAAACAUCAUUCGGUGCGGUUAUCAGUACAGUUCAGAUGAUCAUGUGGCCAUUUUGGUUUAUCUUCAGUACGGUGUUUAAUAUAGCAAAUUCGAUCUUAUACCCUGUAAUUUGGUUCGUCGGAGAGAUACUAGCCGCACCUUUCCGACUUGUCGUUGCGCUAGCAAGUUUUGUAGCAGACUUCUUUGAUGAUAUUGUUGAUGUUUUAAGGCAGACCUGGUCAACGUUAAGUUCGUUGUAUCAAGUUGGUUCUGCAUCCAGAGCACCUGCGCUUACAUCUGAAACUACCAUUUGGGGAUCACUCUGGAAAGAUCUUCUGUACCAGAUUUUCCGUGCAGUUCGGAGCAUUUUGUACGGUUUUGUUGCCUUCUUUUCAACGUGCAAUAGGCAUCGGCUCAGCAUAUACAAUCACAUAGAAGUUCUUCUCCGGCGCCUGUCCCGCGCCUUAAAUGGCACGCGACAUACCUCCGCUUGUGAAGGAGCUCAGAAGUAUACUAGUCAAGAUUAUCCUCAAAGGAAAACUAAGACGAGAUGA